AGCAGCCGCGGUAAUUCCAGCUCCAAUAGCGUAUAUUAAAGUUGUUGCAGUUAAAAAGCUCGUAGUUGAAUUUCGGGGUCAGCAAGUUGGUCGUGCCACCGGUAUGCACUGGCUUUGCUGAUUCCUCCUUCUUGUAGAACCGUAAUGCCAUUAAUUUGGUGUUGCGGGGAAACAGGACUGUUACUUUGAAAAAUUAGAGUGUUUAAAGCAGGCUAACGCUUGAAUACAUUAGCAUGGAAUAAUGAAAUAGGACGACGAUCCUAUUUUGUUGGUUUCUAAGAUUGACGUAAUGAUUAAUAGGGAUAGUUGGGGGCAUUAGUAUUCAAUUGUCAGAGGUGAAAUUCUUGGAUUUAUUGAAGACUAACUACUGCGAAAGCAUUUGCCAAGGAUGUUUUCAUUAAUCAAGAACGAAAGUUAGGGGAUCGAAGACGAUCAGAUACCGUCGUAGUCUUAAACCAUAAACUAUGCCGACUAGGGAUCGGAUGAUGUUAAUUUUAUAAAU
rnacentral:rRNA from 1 species